AGUGAACGCUGGCGGUAGGCCUAACACAUGCAAGUCGAACGGCAGCACAGGAGAGCUUGCUCUCUGGGUGGCGAGUGGCGGACGGGUGAGGAAUACAUCGGAAUCUACUUUUUCGUGGGGGAUAACGUAGGGAAACUUACGCUAAUACCGCAUACGACCUACGGGUGAAAGCGGGGGACCUUCGGGCCUUGCGCGAUUGAAUGAGCCGAUGUCGGAUUAGCUAGUUGGCGGGGUAAAGGCCCACCAAGGCGACGAUCCGUAGCUGGUCUGAGAGGAUGAUCAGCCACACUGGAACUGAGACACGGUCCAGACUCCUACGGGAGGCAGCAGUGGGGAGUAUUGGACAAUGGGCGCAAGCCUGAUCCAGCCAUACCGCGUGGGUGGAGAAGGCCUUCGGGUUGUAAAGCCCUUUUGUUGGGAAAGAAAUCCAGCUGGCUAAUACCCGGUUGGGAUGACGGUACCCAAAGAAUAAGCACCGGCUAACUUCGUGCCAGCCGCCGCAGUAA
rnacentral:rRNA from 1 species